AAAUUUUUGUUGCGAGCAUGAAAAUGAAUUAAUGGAAGCUUAGUAAAAAUAAUAAGACAACAGAGGAGCAGUUUUAGAAUGAAAGCGUUUUCUGAAUAUUGAAAGGAUUUUCCGGUUUUGCCCCAGUGUUUUGACGCUUGAAAUAAUUACUAUCUAAGUCAGAGGAAGAGUUAACUUGAAUAAAUAUCACCUAACUCAAAGAGAAGGUUUCAGACAACUCAUUCCGACAUUCAAGAAAGAUUCGUCAUAAAUUUGAAGGAAAUGAUGAAAAAAGUCCGUUUGAUUGCAAUUAUUUUUCUUCUGAGCAUCGUCUUGCCCUAUGAGAUUCACUGCACAUCUCUUUCAAAUGCACUAGGCAAUAUUUUACUGCAUCCUCAUGAUUAUGGCAGAAGAGAGACUUUACGACGAUACGAGAGGCAAGUAGUCGCCACACCAUAUGGCUAUCCCAGAAGAUUGUGCACUAUUUACGGAUGUGGCUGCACUCCACGUCCUAAAGCCAGAUGUUGCAAAGGAUACAGAUACGACAGAUAUAGCAGAAAAUGUAAAGUAAUUCUUUAAAAGAAAUGCUAAUGAUGAGGAAAGCGAUGGCGAUAGUUCUUCGCAUUUUGUAAACAAUUCACGUUUGAAAAAAAUUAAAUUGAAGAAAAGUUA